GAUGAACGCUGGCGGCGUGCCUAAUACAUGCAAGUCGAGCGAACGGACGAGAAGCUUGCUUCUCUGAUGUUAGCGGCGGACGGGUGAGUAACACGUGGAUAACCUACCUAUAAGACUGGGAUAACUUCGGGAAACCGGAGCUAAUACCGGAUAAUAUUUUGAACCGCAUGGUUCAAAAGUGAAAGACGGUCUUGCUGUCACUUAUAGAUGGAUCCGCGCUGCAUUAGCUGGUUGGUAAGGUAACGGCUUACCAAGGCAACGAUGCAUAGCCGACCUGAGAGGGGAACAGGACACAGUGGAACAGGAACACGGUCCAGACUCCUACGGGAGGAAGCAGUAGGGAAUCUUCCGCGAUGGGAGAAAGCAUGACGGAGCAACGCCGCGUGAGUGAUGAAGGUCUUCGGAUCGUAAAACUCUGUUAUUAGGGAAGAACAUAUGUGUAAGUAACUGUGCACAUCUUGACGGUACCUAAUCAGAAAGCAACGGCUAACUACGUG
rnacentral:rRNA from 1 species